UACGUAGGGUGCAAGCGUUGUCCGGAAUUAUUGGGCGUAAAGAGCUCGUAGGCGGUCUGUCGCGUCGGCUGUGAAAACUCGGGGCUCAACCCCGAGCCUGCAGUCGAUACGGGCAGACUAGAGUGCUGUAGGGGAGACUGGAAUUCCUGGUGUAGCGGUGAAAUGCGCAGAUAUCGGGAGGAACACCGGUGGCGAAGGCGGUUCUCUGGGCCUGUACUGACGCUGAGACGCGAAAGCGUGGGGAGCAAACAGG
rnacentral:rRNA from 1 species